CCCAGUAGCCCGUCACACAGCUUGUAGGGAUGUGUCGCUCUCCUUCACAUAAAGAGCUACACUCCUGCCUCUUUUUUCAGCAUGAUCUCUCUUGUACAAGAUAUAGCCAUUUAUAACCAUAGUCCAGUCAUAGGAGGAGU